GAAGAGCAGGCACGGGAAGAAUCAGUCUUCGAUUGUUAAAUGAGAUUCCUUUCAUUCAGUAACUGAUAGAUCUGGAAGACCAUGUUGCCACCACAACGCCUGAUGACAUCCGGAGCCCACUCUUUACUCAUUCAGGGGAAAGUCCUGGAUUAGAGACGAAAGUUUGGAGUCCUCAGCGAUGAAAAACAUUUAAAGCCAGAAGAGUGAAUGGCAUUACUAAAGAAGUGAGAAGGGAUAUAGAAAGAGAAGCGCUUUAAAAUCUGAUCCUGGAGCCCUCCAACAUGAAGAGCGAGGAAGAUGAGGAGGAACCAGGAAGGAAUGUGAGAAACUCCUCAGCAGAUGUCACCUUACAGCUCACUGGUCCGAACUGAGCUAAUACUGCCCCAGAUCAAUCACUGACAGAGGGGAUGGGAUUUGAUGCUUGACGAGGAACAACCACAGUUCACCUCCUGAGACCUGGCGCGUGGCCUCCUGAACAAAACCGGGCAUGGCUGGCAAAGAGGAAAUAGAGACAAGUAACAACACUGCUAUGAUCGUAAAGGCAGACCUGUGACAGUCAGCUGGCGUAUCUUUUUGGCAGUGAGCUCUCUUACCCUUUGUGAAAUCUUUUGGA